rnacentral:rRNA from 1 species
UACGUAGGGGGCUAGCGUUGUCCGGAAUCAUUGGGCGUAAAGCGCGCGUAGGCGGCCAGAUAAGUCCGGUGUGAAAGUCAAAGGCUCAACCUUUGAAUGCCGCUGGAAACUGUCUGGCUUGAGUCCGGAAGGGGCGAGUGGAAUUCCUGGUGUAGCGGUGAAAUGCGCAGAUAUCAGGAGGAACACCUAUUGCGAAGGCAGCUCGCUGGGACGUAACUGACGCUGAGACGCGAAAGCGUGGGGAGCAAACAGG